UGAGAUGAUCAGUACCAACGUGAGAGGUAUAUGAGAGGAGCACAUGCAGUACUGAGGAGAUAAUGCAAGAAAGGUAUUGUGCUUUCUCCAAUAACACUUUAGGACUGAGAUGUGUCUCUAUGGACUUGCAGUGGCUUUUUGAUCACGAUUUACAUUGUGUUUAUCAAUGUCACUGUUUGACAAACAAAUGUAGUAUAUACCCAAGCUUUUUCUAGUUUAAAAUAAUGAGUGGUUAAAGAGAUUGGUUUUUUUCCCUGUUAAUUUAAGAACUUAGAAGCUCUUCUUGGUGUUACUCCUCGCUGUAGAGACCUUGAUGGGCAGCCUUUACGUUUUGGUGCUUCCUGUUGCUCUAACAUUCACAUAAGCCACAGCACAACUUCUAGGAAAAGGCAGCCUCUGCCUCACAUGUACUCUGCUACCAUCUUACUGCAGAAGAGGGAAAACAUAUCAUUAAGUGAAGUUCAUAAUGGUAAUAGGUGAUGUGAAAGCACUUUGUUGCGGCAUAUGAUGUGAAUAGUCAUGUUUCUGCUGCUUGUUUCCCAUGUAAUCUGAAAGCUUUCUAGCAUAAGGCUUUUCUACAGCAACCUUUGCUACUGCAAAGAAGUCCAGAAUUUUUCUGCCAGAAUCAUGACUGUGGACCUACUUGAAUUUUUUGGGCCUGUCCAGAAAGACAGUCGCAGGUAGGAUUGCAGCCAAACCAAAUGUGCAUGUGUACCGGGUUGUAGGAAUGCAUUUACUCCUGCACAGACUAGCUGCCAAAGUAUCCAGGGUGAUACUGUAUUGCUUGUGAUUGGAAAGCUUCGACGCAUUAAGUAUUGGAGUUAGUUUAAUUAAUGUCACUGUGGUUUUACACGUAGAUGAUUUCUUUCCGUAUAAGCAUAGGCAGGACAAUGUGGACUGGGAUGUGAGUUACCAUACCACAACUCUUGUUUGUUUCAAAGCCACUGCUCAUCUGGGUAAUAAGAUAAUGUGAGGUAAUAAAAAAAAAAAAAACCUUCAAGAUUUACAUU
ensembl:lncRNA